rnacentral:rRNA from 1 species
GGGUUAAGUCCCGCAAAGAGCGCAACCCUCGCCCUUAGGUUGCCAGCAUUAAGUUGGGCACUCUAAGGGGACUGCCGGUGAUAAGCCGGAGAGGAAGGUGGGGAUGACGUCAAGUCCUCAUGGCCCUUACGGGCUGGGCUACACACGUGCUACAAUGGUGGUGACAGUGGGCAGCGAGCACGCGAGUGUGAGCUAAUCUCCAAAAGCCAUCUCAGUUCGGAUUGCACUCUGCAACUCGAGUGCAUGAAGUUGGAAUCGCUAGUAAUCGCGGAUCAGCAUGCCGCGGUGAAUACGUUCCCGGGCCUUGUACACACCGCCCGU